GCAGUGGUGGUUCAUUGGAAGAAUGCUCACCUUCCCCGUAGGAGACCUGGGUUCCAUUCCUGGCCAGUGCA
rnacentral:tRNA from 1 species